AUACGGAGGGUCCAAGCGUUAUCCGGAAUCAUUGGGUUUAAAGGGUCCGCAGGCGGUCAAUUAAGUCAGAGGUGAAAGCCCAUCGCUCAACGAUGGAACUGCCCUUGAUACUGGUUGACUUGAGUUAUACGGAAGUAGAUAGAAUAAGUAGUGUAGCGGUGAAAUGCAUAGAUAUUACUUAGAAUACCGAUUGCGAAGGCAGUCUACUACGUAUAUACUGACGCUGAGGGACGAAAGCGUGGGGAGCGAACAGGAUUAGAAACCCCAGUAGUCC
rnacentral:rRNA from 1 species